AACGAACGCUGGCGGCAGGCCUAACACAUGCAAGUCGAGCGAACCCUUCGGGGUUAGCGGCGGACGGGUUAGUAACGCGUGGGAAUAUACCCUUUGGUACGGAAUAGCCUCGGGAAACUGAGAGUAAUACCGUAUGUGCCCUUCGGGGGAAAGAUUUAUCGCCAAAGGAUUAGCCCGCGUUGGAUUAGAUAGUUGGUGGGGUAAUGGCCUACCAAGUCUACGAUCCAUAGCUGGUUUGAGAGGAUGAUCAGCAACACUGGGACUGAGACACGGCCCAGACUCCUACGGGAGGCAGCAGUGGGGAAUCUUAGACAAUGGGCGCAAGCCUGAUCUAGCCAUGCCGCGUGGACGAUGAAGGCCUUAGGGUUGUAAAGUCCUUUCAGAUGGGAAGAUAAUGACGGUACCAUCAGAAGAAGCCCCGGCUAACUCCGUGCCAGCAGCCGCGGUAAAGUAUCG
rnacentral:rRNA from 1 species